rnacentral:rRNA from 1 species
AGAGUUUGAUCCUGGCUCAGGACGAACGCUGGCGGCGUGCCUAACACAUGCAAGUCGAGCGGGGAACGGAUGGUAGCUUGCUACUGUUUGUUUCUAGCGGCGGACGGGUGAGUAACGCGUGAGCAACCUGCCUUUAUCAGGGGGAUAACGCAUCGAAAGAUGUGCUAAUACCGCGUAAGACCACAGCUUCACAUGGAGCGGGGGUCAAAGGAGCAAUCCGGAUAAAGAUGGGCUCGCGUCCGAUUAGCUAGUUGGUGAGAUAACAGCCCACCAAGGCGACGAUCGGUAGCCGACCUGAGAGGGUGAUCGGCCACAUUGGAACUGAGACACGGUCCAGACUCCUACGGGAGGCAGCAGUGGGGAAUAUUGGGCAAUGGGCGAAAGCCUGACCCAGCAACGCCGCGUGAGGGAAGAAGGGUUUCGGCUCGUAAACCUCUGUCCUAUGGGACGAAGGAAGUGACGGUACCAUAGGAGGAAGCCCCGGCUAACUACGUGCCAGCAGCCGCGGUAAUACGUAGGGGGCGAGCGUUGUCCGGAAUGAUUGGGCGUAAAGGGCGCGUAGGCGGCCUGCUAAGUCUGGAGUGAAAGUCCUGCUUUCAAGGUGGGAAUUGCUUUGGAUACUGGUGGGCUGGAGUGCAGGAGAGGAAAGCGGAAUUACCGGUGUAGCGGUGAAAUGCGUAGAGAUCGGGAGGAACACCAGUGGCGAAGGCGGCUUUCUGGACUGAAACUGACGCUGAGGCGCGAAAGCGUGGGGAGCAAACAGGAUUAGAUACCCUGGUAGUCCACGCGGUAAACGAUGAAUGCUAGGUGUAGGAGGUAUCGACCCCUUCUGUGCCGCAGUAAACACAAUAAGCAUUCCGCCUGGGGAGUACGGCCGCAAGGUUGAAACUCAAAGGAAUUGACGGGGGC